CAUUUAUCGCUAGCCACUUCCUCACACCUCUAACUCUUUCUCUUCAAUACAUCCCAAUUUCUCUCUGCACUUUGGUGCUGAAUUGUCUCAAUUUCUCUCUGACCUGGAGAUUACUAGAACCAGGUGAGAAACAAAUUGAUACGGUUGAGUACCAAGAAUCAUCAUUAACUGCUGUGAUUUCUAUUUGUAAGUUUUAGUCUCUGUUCAUCUAUAUUUAUAUGUAUAUGUAGCUGAAAGCUAUAGUAUUUGUCAAGGAGGUGGUGUUUUGCAGGUUUCAUAUAUCAAUAUGGUACAGAGGAUUCCAACCUUUGCUAUGGUUUGACCUUGACUGUAAGUUCAUAUAUACCAAGUGACACUAGCUGGGAUGUCAAAAGGUUGCCUGGAUAUUGACAAAUCAUGACUUGAAGUUUCAUCUAUUCAACAGACUGCUCUAUAUCCAUUCCAGGUUUAAUGUCUGAAAGAUAUAAUCAAUUAUGUCUACAAAAACCCUGAGUAUAUCUUUUUGUUUCCUGCAAAAGGAAAACAUGAAAUUGUUACAAACAAAACAUUGAUGGGAAAUUAAAGGCUAAACAGAAAGGAGAAUGUUGUAUUGACAAACAGGCAAGUUUGCCAGAAAGAGAUUCAGUAGCUGGCAAUUUACAGAAUCUACUCUGUUUAGUCCUAUAGAAUUGGUGCUUUUGCAAAGGAUUGCAAUCAGAUUCAAACCCUGCACAAUUUGAUUUAAAUGGUUAAUACACUCAUUUAUGAAAGAAAACGAAAUUCAAAUUUGAUCAUUUACAACUAAUCUUUUUUAUAUCAAAAAAUAAAGAGGAUGAACGUAGCUUGUUUUUCUUACUGUUCAUAAGUAUGAUGUAUUGAUUUGUAUUGAUAGAAAACAAUCGGAGUGUGAAUAUAUGCAAUAAUCUAAUGGCUUUGGAUGUAGUUGGUUGUUGAUGAUUGAGAAAAUGGCAAGCGCCUCAUGGUCAAGACUCGUGAUAAAACUCGCACGGUUUUGGUGGAUUCAUGUGGCAAUCGUGCGAUGAGCUCGUGACGGUGAUCUAAAGUGGUGCUCUAUUUGUCUUGACACGCAGUGUCGUUGUCAGAACUGUCGCGCGUUGGUGGAUACUAGUGAUCGAUAGUGUGAUGAGCGUGCGACCUUGCGAUGAACCGGGCUGUGAUCGCGCGAUGUGGCCUUAUUGUGGUCUGUUUGUCAUUAGUCGUCGUCAGAACUCGCACGGUUUUGGAGGGUUUUCGCCAUCAACAGUGCGACGCUCGCGCAAUCUUCGGCAACUUGUUGGUUGCUGAUGACUGAGAAAAUGGCAAGCGCCUCAUGGUCAAGACUCGUGAUAAAACUCGCACGGUUUUGGUGGAUUCGUGUUGGCAAUCGUGCGAUGAGCUCGAGACGGUGACCUAAAGUGGUGCUCUAUUUGUCUUGAUACGCAGUGUCGUUGUCAGAACUGUCGCGCGUUGGUGGAUAUUAGUGAUCGAUAGUGCGAUGAGCGCGCGACCUUGCGAUGAACCGGGCAAUGAUCGCGCAAUGUGGCCGAAUCACUAUGUGGCCUUAUUGUGAUCUGUUUGUCAUUAGACGUCGUCAGAACUCGCACGGUUUUGGAGGGUUUUCGCCAUCAACACAGCGACGCUCGCGCAAUCUCGGCAAUGUAUGGGAAAGAGUGUAUGGUUUGAACUUAAGUGUCAUCCUCUUAAUUCAAUAUUUUACUUGCUUUAUUUUACUUGCUUUUUAAAAAUAUUUUAUAUUUUACUAACGGGGUUAGUUUAAGUAGUAAGCAGCUUGAUAUUGUUUAAACAAGUCUCGAGUUCGAAUCAUUGUUUAUGCAGAAAAUCUCAGUGAGAGUCUCAUCAACCAAAGUCAGGUGUGUGAUAGGGGUCGAUCCGGAUUAGUGAAGGGUCCAAAUAUGUCCAAAGUUGUUCGGGUCCAACACUAGCUAAGCGGGCUUGAACCAGCCCAGGUUUGCAAAACCCUAACGUCUCAAGCAUCAGCGCCGCAAAGCAAGAAACCAGGAGUCAAAGGUUCGGUCACACGAAACGGUCGGACGUCGGCCGAGAAUCCCGAGAUUGAACCAUCCCGAGAUUUCAGCAGCAACGUUCACAGCCCCGAACAAAACGGAACAACCCGGGGUACUGGUUCACCGAGCAGUGUAUAAAUACCCCGGUGACCAACAUCGAAAGGGGCACCGGGGAUCACAGAAUGGAGAAAACCAUGAACACAUAAAAGAGAUAACCCACAGAGGAUUUGAACCACCAAAUCAUUGAUCAACACAGAGCCAAGAAACACAACAAUAACAGAACCACAAGCCAUUACAAUAUCGAAAAGCCAAAUACAACACCACUAAAAAAACCCAAAAGCAGUAAACAUAGAAACAACCGAAGGCCUCUCAUCGAAAAGAGAACGAUCACCGUCGAGGAAGGUAAAAAGGACAAACCUUUCGGGCUAGAUCUACUUUGUUCGGGGUCGUUUUAGACGAUUUGGGUUUUGAUUUCGUAUUCAGGGUAACGAGAAGCGUAUUUGGGGAGGUUUUGGGGUUUUUCGGCUGAAGCAAUUUUCGACGGCGUUGAUUGGCGGUUGGCCACCUGGGUGGUAGCCGGGUUUCCACCGUGUUCUGGGAAGGUUGAGAGAGUUUAGGAGAGUGGUGAGAGACUUGUUUUGGGAUAGGGAAGGAAAUGAAAUAUUUAGGACUUGAUUUUGGUAUUUAAAUGAGACUCGCGUACCCAUCAGAUCGACCCGCGACCCGAUCCGGAGAGCAGAGGAUCCGCGUGUUUUCGUGAAUAGGGGGAAUUGUAACUUUGGUUCCCCCAUUUUUUAUACAUUUUAUAUUGCCCCCAAUUCUCAUUCCUUCUUCGAUUUACUUUG